rnacentral:rRNA from 1 species
CUUUCUCCGCCGGCGACCGGCGCACGGGUGAGUAACACGUAUGCAACCUGGCCCCUGUCAGGGGGACAACCCGCCGAAAGGCGGGCUAAACCCGCGUACAUGCCACCGGGGCAUCCCGGAGGCAGGAAAGGCUUCGGCCGGACAGGGAUGGGCAUGCGGCGCAUUAGGCAGUAGGCGGGGUAACGGCCCACCUAACCGACGAUGCGUAGGGGUUCUGAGAGGAAGGUCCCCCACACUGGUACUGAGACACGGACCAGACUCCUACGGAAGGCAGCAG